rnacentral:rRNA from 1 species
UACAGAGGUCCCGAGCGUUGUUCGGAUUCAGUCUGGGCGUAAAGGGUGCGUAGGUGGCUUGGAAAGUUUGAUGUGAAAGCUCAGGCUUAACCCUGAAAUGGCAUUGAAUACUGCUGAGCUGGAGGUUGGAGGGGGACUGGAAUUCUUGGUGUAGCAGUGAAAUGCGUAGAUAAUCAAGAGGAACACCAGUGGCGAAGGCGAGUCCCUGGACAACACCUGACACUGAGGCACGAAAGCUAGGGGAGCAAACAGG